CACGUAGUUAGCCGGGGCUUCUUAGUCAGGUACCGUCAUUAUCUUUCCUGCUGGUAGAGCUUUACAUACCGAGAUACUUCUUCACUCACGCGGCGUCGCUGCAUCAGGGUUUCCCCCAUUGUGCAAUAUUCCCCACUGCUGCCUCCCGUAGGAGUCUGGGCCGUGUCUCAGUCCCAAUGUGGCCGUUCACCCUCUCAGGCCGGCUACUGAUCGUCGCUUUGGUGGGCCGUUACCCCGCCAACUGGCUAAUCAGACGCGGAUCCAUCGUAUACCACCGGAGUUUUUCACACCGCUCCAUGCGGAGCUGUGCGCUCAUGCGGUAUUAGCACCUAUUUCUAAGUGUUAUCCCCCGGUAUACGGCAGGUUAUCCACGCGUUACUCACCCGUCCGCCACUAACCUGUAUAUCACUAGGUUUCAAUACAGAUCCGUUCGACUUGCAUGUGUUAGGCACGCCGCCAGCGUUCAUCCUGAGCCGGGAUCAAACUCU
rnacentral:rRNA from 1 species